UUUUUUACCCAAUCGAAUUCCGAUUUGUGUAAUUCUUCUUCACCUUAUCUCCACACUCCUACGUUAAUCAGCCCUUCCAGUUUCUUCUUUCCACCGCUUAUCCAGACCUUCUCUUCUUUUUCUUCCUUCUUCCAUUCCUACGUUAAUUCUUCUUCACCUUAUCUCCACACUCCACACGUGUUGCUUCUCUUCUCUUUCGAAACCCACCACCAUCGCUUCGCAACCCACCACCAUCAUCACAUCAGGUUUAAAUUUUGGAUUGAUUAAAGUCCAAAAUCCUGAUUUUCGAACGUCUGCUUCAAAUGCUACAGGCUACUAAUCCCUGUUUCAUACCGUUUUACUGUUAGGGCUAAUCAAUUUCUCCUUGUCAAAUCGACAAAUACAUAUCGAUUGAAUUCAUCAUUCAUGGAAAUAUAGAGCGAUUCAGAUCAACCCGAGAGUGAUUUUGUUUGAUUCUUAAUAAAAAAAAUGGCUCGACUCGGUGAACUAAUGGCUUUGUUUUUGCAGGAAAGUGAAGAGACAGAAAGGAGUACGAGAACGAUCGUCGACCUUCUAAAGGAGAGAACCAUGGACGGCGGCGAUAGGUUCCGACGACGGAAGAGUCUUCAAGAACGAUUAGAAUUAAAGAGUAUGGUCGUUUGUUGAUCUGCUUAGGGCAUCGAAAUCGAACCUUCCACCAUGAACACCCGAGCCGACGAUGAUGACGAUGUCGUUGACUCGAUCCAUCAAAUAGAUGUCAUAGACGUCAAUCUAACAUCGCCGGACACCAACUACGAUCCCGGUUGUAUCUCUCCGUCGCCUCGAAUUUGUUGUCAACAUUUGGAGGCAAAGCUUUUGUCUUUCUUCCCUCGCUUAACCUUUUAUGUUUUCUAAAUCUUAGUUCAUUGUUUUCUUUCUGGUGCUUACUUUUGCCAUACACAUCGACAUAACGAAGGAAAAGCAUACAGACCACGUCUCUAACAGCUUGCUAUGUUUUAGCAUACACCAUCUGAUUAUGUUUUAGCGUCUAAAGUAUUUGUCAAAUUUUCUUUCCUACAGAAAGAAUCGAAGAAUCUGAUUAUUGACACAUAUAUAGGCUUCAACACCAACUAGGUUGAGUGGAUGACGAUACUUCUCUGUUUGAUUGACAUACAUAAGUACUACAAGGAUACAAGUGUUGAUAUGUUGUUUCACACUCAAAUGGAAGAUCCCUGUUCAGCAUGCAUAUCAAGCAAUGUUGCUGUAGACCAGCUUACAAAAAAGAUAAGUGCCACCGGUUUAAAGUCAAUUGGGAUCUGCUUUCUUGGGCGAGAGGAAUGUAAUCAGUCUUUCCAAUGUUCCUAUUACUCACUUUUCAUAUCCAAGAGAAAUAGUAGUUGAUAG